GAUGAACGCUGGCGGCGUGCCUAAUACAUGCAAGUCGAGCGAAUGGAUUAAGAGCUUGCUCUUAUGAAGUUAGCGGCGGACGGGUGAGUAACACGUGGGUAACCUGCCCAUAAGACUGGGAUAACUCCGGGAAACCGGGGCUAAUACCGGAUAACAUUUUGAACCGCAUGGUUCGAAAUUGAAAGGCGGCUUCGGCUGUCACUUAUGGAUGGACCCGCGUCGCAUUAGCUAGUUGGUGAGGUAACGGCUCACCAAGGCAACGAUGCGUAGCCGACCUGAGAGGGUGUUCGGCAACACUGGGACUGAGACACGGCCCAGACUCCUACGGGAGGCAGCAGUAGGGAAUCUUCCGCAAUGGACGAAAGUCUGACGGAGCAACGCCGCGUGAGUGAUGAAGGCUUUCGGGUCGUAAAACUCUGUUGUUAGGGAAGAACAAGUGCUAGUUGAAUAAGCUGGCACCUUGACGGUACCUAACCAGAAAGCCACGGCUAACUACGUGCCAGCCGCCGCUGUAA
rnacentral:rRNA from 1 species